AGUGAACGCUGGCGGUAGGCCUAACACAUGCAAGUCGAACGGCAGCUCAUUAAGAGCUUGCUCUUACGGGUGGCGAGUGGCGGACGGGUGAUGAAUACAUCGGAAUCUACUUUUUCGUGGGGGAUAACGUAGGGAAACUUACGCUAAUACCGCAUACGACCUACGGGUGAAAGCAGGGGAUCUUCGGACCUUGCGCGAUUGAAUGAGCCGAUGUCGGCUUAGCUAGUUGGCGGGGUAAAGGCCCACCAAGGCGACGAUCCGUAGCUGGUCUGAGAGGAUGAUCAGCCACACUGGAACUGAGACACGGUCCAGACUCCUACGGGAGGCAGCAGUGGGGAAUAUUGGACAAUGGGCGCAAGACUGAUCCAGCCAUACCGCGUGGGUGAAGAAGGCCUUCGGGUUGUAAAGCCCUGUUGUUGGGAAAGAAAAGCAGCAGGUUAAUACCCCGCUGUUCUGACGGUACCCAAAGAAUAAGCACCGGCUAACUUCGUG
rnacentral:rRNA from 1 species